rnacentral:lncRNA from 1 species
AUAGAAGCCCAUCUCCUACUGUAAAUAACCUACACGCUGUGUGUGUGUGUAGCCAGCCAGCCAGGUAGAAAAAUGGCAGAAAAAUAAAAAAGACGGACAUCAGAGUAUUUUUCAGUACACCAAAACGCAAAGCAGAGCAGGCAACAGAUGGCACACAGACAGCAGAGUUGGGGACAGAUAUGCAGGGACAGAUAUGCAGAGACAGGGAGUCUCAGGUAAGUUUGUUGAGUCUUUGUCUGGCAACAUUAUGAAAGGUUCUCCAUUUUUUUAACUUGUAAAAUAGGAACAUAAUUGGAAAAUGCCAUGGAUGCCCCAACUCUUAACUUUAACAAAUCUUAGUUCAGUCACCAGUUUAAGGCAAUGGUAUUGCUGUUGUGAUUAGUUGUGUAGUUUUGGGUACCGGUAGUUAGGAGUACGGCAAACACCUUAUUUCUUUGGUUCCUCAAUAUACAUUUACCAUAUUACAAUGUAGGCUAUGUGUUACAGCACUACUUUUGGUGUCC